rnacentral:rRNA from 1 species
GACUACGACGUUGAUAGGUUGGGUGUGUAAGCGCUGUGAGGCGUUGAGCUAACCAAUACUAAUUGCCCGUGAGGCUUGACCAU